GUCUAUGGCCAUGCUACCCUGAACAAGCCUGAUCCCAUCUGAUCCCGGAAGCUAAGCAGGGUCGGGCCUGGUUAGUACUUGGAUGGGAGACCAUUUAGGAAGACCAGGUGCUGUAGGCA
rnacentral:rRNA from 1 species